rnacentral:rRNA from 1 species
CACGUAGGGGGCAAGCGUUGUCCGGAUUUAUUGGGCGUAAAGAGCUCGUAGGUGGUUCGGUAAGUCAGGUGUGAAACCUCCAGGCUCAACCUGGAGACGCCACUUGAUACUGCUGUGACUGGAGUCCGGUAGAGGAGUGCGGAAUUCCUGGUGUAGCGGUGAAAUGCGCAGAUAUCAGGAGGAACACCAACGGCGAAGGCAGCACUCUGGGCCGGUACUGACGCUGAGGAGCGAAAGCGUGGGGAGCAAACAGG